rnacentral:rRNA from 1 species
AUGAAACUAAAGGGCAGCAAUCAGUUCACAUCAAAAGUGAAAUCUAUGACUCGAUCCAAGGGGAAAUUGACAAGAUCUGAAAUCGAAGACAUUGGACAAACUGUGGACAGCCUGCAUAAGAUAUGUGACAUUGUUCACGCUGCUCUCUUUCUUGAGAAAAAUGAUAAACUGCUUGCAGCAAUUCAAAACACAAGCACAAACAUAGGCGGGACAGUACAAUUCUUCACUGAAUCCAAGUUGUUCCCGAGGAAGGAGAAGGCUGAUAUUCUAAAACUAAUUAGUACAAGUGCAUCCAGUGAUCAUCAGCGGCGACCACCCUACCAUUUUUUUUUGGUCAUGGACACAAUAUUCGUCAUUGUUUGGAUGGUUGGCAACAUUUUUCGUCAAUGCUCCAUCGACAAUUCUAGUUCAUUUUUCUAG